UAUUUAUGGACUCCAUCUAGUUGUCAGCUGCUGGGUCAGAGCGAAGAUGCAGAGUGAAGGUGACGUACAUAGAGUCUGGCAUGGGAGAGCAGACUCUAAAUGACACCAGGACCUGAACUGUCCGGAAGAGCAUGUAAUGAAGAGGAGAAGUGGAAAACUGGGCAGGAGUGCUUCAGGCAAAGGGGCGAGCAAGUGUAAAGGGCCACAGG
rnacentral:lncRNA from 1 species